UGCGAGUCAUUGUAGCAAUACAAGGCAGACGGCUCAGUAACGCGUAGUCAAUCUACCCUAUGGACGGGAAUAACCUCGGGAAACUGAGAAUAAUGCCCGACAGAACAUUAUACCUGGAACGGUUUAUGUUUCAAAUGAUUUAUCGCCGUAGGAUGGGACUGCGGCCUAUCAGUUYGUUGGUGAGGUAAUGGCCCACCAAGACUAUUACAGGUACGGGCUCUGAGAGGAGUAGCCCGGAGAUGGGUACUGAGACACGGACCCAGGCCCUAUGGGGCGCAGCAGGCGAGAAAACUUUGCAAUGUGCGAAAGCACGACAAGGUUAAUCCGAGUGGUUYCUGCUAAAGAAACCUUUUGCUAGUCCUAGAAACACUAGUGAAUAAGGGGUGGGCAAGUUCUGGUGUCAGCCGCCGCGGUAAAACCAGCACCUCAAGUGGUCAGGAUGAUUAUUGGGCCUAAAGCAUCCGUAGCUCGUUUUGUAAGUUUUCGGUUAAAUCCAUACGCUUAACGUAUGGGCUGCCGGGAAUACUGCAUAACUAGGAAGUGGGAGAGGUAGACGGUACUCGGUAGGAAGGGGUAAAAUCCUUUGAUCUAUUGAUGACCACCUGUGGCGAAGGCGGUCUACCAGAACACGUUCGACGGUGAGGGAUGAAAGCUGGGGGAGCAAACCGGAUUAGAUACCCGGGUAGUCCCAGCUGUAAACUAUGCAAACUCAGUGAUGCAUUGGCUUGUGGCCAAUGCAGUGCUGCAGGGAAGCCGUUAAGUUUGCCGCCUGGGAAGUACGUACGCAAGUAUGAAACUUAAAGGAAUUGGCGGGGGAGCACCACAA
rnacentral:rRNA from 1 species